UACGGAGGAUGCGAGCGUUAUCCGGAUUUAUUGGGUUUAAAGGGUGCGUAGGCGGGUUAUCAAGUCAGCGAUAAAAUCGUGGAGCUCAACUCCAUCCAGCCGUUGAAACUGAUGAUCUUGAGUGGGCGAGAAGUAUGCGGAAUGCGUGGUGUAGCGGUGAAAUGCAUAGAUAUCACGCAGAACUCCGAUUGCGAAGGCAGCAUACCGGCGCCCGACUGACGCUGAAGCACGAAAGCGUGGGUAUCGAACAGG
rnacentral:rRNA from 1 species